rnacentral:rRNA from 1 species
AUUGAACGCUGGCGGCAUGCUUUACACAUGCAAGUCGAACGGUAACAGGCCGCAAGGUGCUGACGAGUGGCGAACGGGUGAGUAAUGCAUCGGAACGUGCCCAGUCGUGGGGGAUAACUACUCGAAAGAGUAGCUAAUACCGCAUACGAUCUAUGGAUGAAAGCGGGGGACCGUAAGGCCUCGCGCGAUUGGAGCGGCCGAUGUCAGAUUAGGUAGUUGGUGGGGUAAAGGCUCACCAAGCCAACGAUCUGUAGCUGGUCUGAGAGGACGACCAGACACACUGCGACUGAGACACGGCCCAGACUCCUACGGGAGGCAGCAGUGGGGAAUUUUGGACAAUGGGCGCAAGCCUGAUCCAGCAAUGCCGCGUGCAGGAAGAAGGCCUUCGGGUUGUAAACUGCUUUUGUACGGAACGAAACGGCUCUGGUUAAUACCCGGGGCUAAUGACGGUACCGUAAGAAUAAGCACCGGCUAACUACGUG